rnacentral:rRNA from 1 species
UACGGGGGGGGCGAGCGUUGUUCGGAAUUACUGGGCGUAAAGGGCGCGUAGGCGGUCUGCUAAGUUGGAUGUGAAAACUCUGGGCUUAACCCAGAGCCUGCAUUCAAUACUGACAGGCUAGAGUUCUGGAGGGGAUAGCGGAAUUCCUGGUGUAGCGGUGAAAUGCGUAGAGAUGUGGAGGAACACCGAUGGCGAAGGCAGCCCCCUGGGCCAACACUGACGCUCAGGCACGAAAGCGUGGGGAGCAAACAGG